rnacentral:rRNA from 1 species
UUGGAGGGCAAGUCUGGUGCCAGCAGCCGCGGUAAUUCCAGCUCCAAUAGCGUAUAUUAAAGUUGUUGCAGUUAAAAAGCUCGUAGUUGAAUUUCGGGAUUGACGUGAUGGUCAUGCCUUAAGGGGUAUGAACUGUUACAGUUGAUUUCUCACCUUCUGGAGAAACUUGAUGUCCUUUAUUGGGUGUCUUGCGGAUCCAGGACCUUUACCUUGAGAAAAAUUAGAGUGUUUAAAGCAGGCAUUUUUGCUCGAAUACAUUAGCAUGGAAUAAUAGAAUAGGACGGCAUGGUUCUAUUUUGUUGGUUUCUAGGAUCACCGUAAUGAUUAAUAGGGAUAGUUGGGGGCAUUAGUAUUCAAUUGUCAGAGGUGAAAUUCUUGGAUUUAUUGAAGACUAACUACUGCGAAAGCAUUUGCCAAGGAUGUUUUCAUUAAUCAAGAACGAAAGUUAGGGGAUCGAAGACAAUCAGAUACCGUCGUAGUCUUAACCAUAAACUAUGCCGACUAGGAAUCAGACGAUGUUAAUUUUUUAAUGACUCGUUUGGCACCUUACGGGAAACCAAAGUGUUUGGGUUC